GGCACAAGUCGGCAGCUGUCCGCGGAGGCGGAACGCGGAAAGUAUGGAGCAGCCUGAAGAAGGGGAAGCUAAAAGGAUAGCUACUUAGGUAGCGUUAAUAAAAUUGCAGGUUAAGCAUCUCCCUGCACAACAUCCGGCCCGACUCCUUCAGCAGGAAGUAGCGGAUCAGCAUCGGCACCUGGUCAGCCAGCCGCUGGACAACAAUCUGUGGAGCGGGGAAGGGAGGAAGGGAUAUUUUAUGGGAUUGGAAAACAAUAAUGUGUUUGUAAUAAUACACAGCCCUGGGCCAUGUCUACUUUCAAUUCGUCAUGGGGGUGGGGGGGUUGGGGUCCGUUUUGAGCUUUUUAAACUUUUCUUAUCAGACCACAGAACGUCUUUAGUAGUCAGAAUGACAUUAGACCUCAUAAAUUCAUAAUGCAUUUCAUCAGUGCAUGAUGGAAUUGAAAACUGUCAGCAUGAGUGGUGAUCAACAGGAUCUACAAGACAAACUUUGCAGGUUUUAUUAUUGCAGUAGAAAAACCAUACAUCUGCUGGAACUGUACAUCAUCUGAAGACUACCCAGUAUAGAAUGAUCAACUGUUUAAACAACUUCAAACACGUCUACGUACUGCAGCAGGUCUUCUUCCUGACUCACCUCAUAGUAGGCCUUGAGCAUGGCCGGGUACUUGGACCUGCUAUCGAAGUCUGCACAGUUACUGUCAGAAGCCUUCUCCCCGCCUGAAACCAUGCAUUCAUUCAGGCUUUUGUAGUAGAUGGCGUCCUGUGUGUAGACUAGCUGCUCCAUUUCAAAUUGUUCCAAGAGCCUCUCCUGCACCAGGGACUCCUGUGUUGACUGUAUGUUGUCUAUCUUGUUCUGGGGAUGGUGGGGAGAUCGAGGGGGAAAGAGCAAUACGUUCAGAGCAGAGGGACCCAGACUUUUACAUCACAAAAUAACCACCCUGUGGUUUGACACAUUUAUCCAAAACAUGUUACCACCUGCAGUGCAGUGGCAGUUUAACACAUUAACACAAGUAGCAUGUCUAUAUCAUUAUGACAUUACAUUAUAUUUUUAGGGUCAUAUGGCUGUUUAUUUCAUUAAACAUGUUUAAUUACUUUAAUCAUCUGUAUGUAUGGUUUCUUAAUAAAUUGAAAGGCUUACAUAUUUUUCA